rnacentral:lncRNA from 1 species
GCAUCAAACAAAUACUGUACAGCAGUGUAUUCACCAGGGUCACCCAUGGCUCAAGGAUGGGUCAUAGGAAGCUUCUGGGAAGUCAGCAGAGGAGAGCUGUGCAUGGAUUGAUUCUGAGGAAGAUCCUGAGGAAAGCAGGUACCAUCUUUCAGCUGAUUUUCACACUACUAGCAAGGGAUGAUUUGGUGGCAAA